UUUCCAGGGACUGCCCCCCCACAUCCGCCGGAAGUGCGUCCGUCCGGGCGAGGAAGGAAGGAGGGCGCGGGACGCCGGAGGGAGCUGCCCCAGGUCGAAGCUCCCACGCUUGCAAUCCCGAGGGACCGCGGGCCAAGGGCGCAGUAAGGAAGCAAUGCAUGUUCACCGUAGAAAGACAACACCAAAAGGCAGAAAGAAGAAGAAAGAGAACACUUGAAUGCAUCACCCAGAGAAGAAAAAAGAGAACGCUUGAACGCAUCACCCAGAGAUAACCAAUGUGAAUGUGUUGGUGGAUAUCCUCUUAGACAUUCUUCUAUGUGACAGAAUAUAUCAUUUAUCUUUAGGGAAAAAAUAGAUUGAUUGCAUUUUCUAAGUGAGCUGGGAAAAUUUCUUUUGGCUUUCUUAUGACCGUGUUAUUAUUUCAUAAAAACCAUCAUUGUGCAGCCUUAGAAAACAUCCUUCCUUUAGUUCUUCAGGAAUGAGAAAUUACACGUAGGCAAUUUGUUCAACAUUUUUCAUUAUGUCAGCAUGAUCAGAUGCCAGAUCUCUGUUUGGAAUAAUUUGUGAAGGUAUGUUUUUUUGAUACUUUGCCAGGGAAAUCAUAACUCUUACAAUUCUCCAAUAACCCCAACCCCACAAUUGCAGUUAUGGAUAGAUAUUAUGUUCCAUGUUUUGUUGUCUUCUCACUGUUUCAGUAUCUGGGAUGAAUGCCAAAAGCUAUUCAGCCUCACUCCAUUUAUUAAAAGAGAGUGUCCAACUAAGUUUAUACAAUAGAGUUUAGAAAAAAAAAAGACCUUGUUUGUUUAUCAUUCUAGUUUGGUGUUUUUACAUGAGCAAGAAAGAAAGGUGUGGUUUCUAAAAUUCCUUGAUGAACUUGCCUGGUUGAGAAGUAGAGUAUCAUGGAUAACAGAAUUAAUUACCUGACACCUGAGCCACAAGCAGAGGUCCUUGCCUGUUCCAAACCAUCCUCCACACGCUGCCAAAGUUGUUUGUCUUCUAAAAUUCAAAUCGAUUGCUUUCCUCCUUAAAGCCUUUCAAUAGUCCUCUUUGCCUGCCCUACAGAAUUAAUUUAUGACUCUUCAGAAUGCAAAACAGGCUUUCUAUGAUCUGCCAGCCCUACUCUGAAAUUUUUUACUCCAGACAUAUUAAAGUACUUGGAAUUCCCUGUUAAUGUUGAUUUCACGCCCCUAUACAUUUCUUCCUGCUCCUCCCUCUUUUUGGAAUGCACUAUCAAACCAUGUCAGGUCAAGCAUCAUUUCCUCUGCAAAACCUUUCCUGACCUUCUCCACUGCCCUGCUUUCCCCACCUGGGGAAAAUAGGCUCUAUGCCUCAUUGCUUAUGCAUACAUAUGAGUAAUUGUAUCUCAUCAACACACUGUUGUACCUCUUGUUUUCACAUGAGCUUCUCCUCGUUAGACUAUAAACUCCAUUCACCAUCUUUCUGGAGCUAUCAUCUUUCAUUAACAACAUCUUAAUAAUUGCCUUUCAGCUAGCAGCCCGCCUGCCUCCACUCUUACCUGUUUUUGAAGUGAUUCUCCCCAUCUCCAGAUUAAGUGGGCUCGGCAAACUAUGCUUCCCUGUUUGAAAAGUGUGGUGGUGGGAACUGGGUGAAAUUAGCUCCAGGACACAACUAACAGUGGGGCUAGUUUAUUUGCUGCAGUAGGUAUCCAUGUGCUGAGAGAUUCCCAAGGACAGGGAGUGGGGAAGGAGUAGGAGUAAGUGGAGAAAGUAGGGGCUGAGAAACUAGGUAAAGAUUCAGAACCAGGUGCAGACAGGCAUACAAGUCACAAAUCCAAAAAGACCUAGUUAGCCACAGUUCAACCAGGGGUGCCAGAACUUGCAUGGGUAGGGUGUGCCAGGCAGUGUCAUUAGGAGCUUCCAUGUGGUCAAGGGUUAGAGUGGUCAUGAAGUAAAAAAAUGCUGUCCAGUGACCAAAAAUAUUUGCAAAAUUCUGAGUUUGGAGCCAAGAGGAACAUACACUGUAGGAGACAGAGUGAGCAGCCUGAGUCAGAAUCCAUUGCAUGAAAAGCUGAACUUUCAAAACAGUGCAGUUAUAUUUGGUGGUUUGCAAUCCCAAGUAAGUUCCUCCUUGACCACUAUAUUUAUUAAAGGGUUGUUUUCAAACGUCUUCCCCAAAUGGUAAAUGUAUUCCAAGUGGUUUAAAUUCACACUUCUGUCAACAGAAAUUUUACUUUUGUGGAUCUGCUGGGUGAGAAGUGAUAACUCAGGGUACUUCAGUUUGCAUCUUUCUGAUUAUUAUUAAGAUCAUGUACUUUUUCAUGUUUACUGUUUAGAUUUGCUUUUCUGAAAAUGCCUAUUCACACAUUCUUUAUUCAUUUUUCUAUGGAAUUUUUUUUCUUUUUCCUGAGAACUUUUGGUCACUCAUUUUAUACUAUAGAUAUUAACCUUUUUUUACAAAUACUGGAUAUUUCUUGAAGUCUACUAUAUAAUAACAUUAUUCUUUUCUUUAUGGUAUCUUUAACAUACACAUAUUUAAAACACUAUCUUUUCCUUUGCAACUCCCUGGUUUGCUAUUUAGGUUGAGAAUGUUUUCCUUCCUGUAGCGUAUAAAUUCAUUCUCUUAAAUUUUGUUCUAAAAUAUUUAUUGAUUUUUUACAGUUUCAUUUUUAAUCCAUAUGAAAUUUAACUUUGGAUAUGGAUUAAGUAGGCAUCUAAUUUUAUUUUCCUCUAGAUGGCUAUUUUAAAAUCCCAUGUAUACUAAGAUACAUUUUGGUACUCCCCAUUUUAAAGAUCUAUUUAUUUAUUUAUUUUUAUUCUUUUUUUUUGAGACGGAGUCUCGCUGUUGUUACUCAGGCUGGAGUGCAAUGGCACGAUCUCGGCUCACUACCACCUCCACCUCCUGGGUUCAGGCAAUUCUCCUCCCUCAGCCUCCUGAGUAGCUGGGAUUACAGGCAGCGCCACCGUGCCCAGCUAAUUUUUGUAUUUUUAGUAGAGAUGGGGUUUCACCAUGUUGACCAGGAUGGUCUUGAUCUCUUGACCUUGUGAUCCACCCGCCUCAGCCUCCCAAAGUGCUGGGAUUACAGAUCUAUUUAUUUUUCUAAGUAACACUAGCUAACAUGUAUCAGUGCAUAUACUACAGGUGUCAAAUACUGUCUUAGGUGCUUUACAUACUUUACCUCAUUUAAUCCUGGCAGCAGCACUGUGGGUAAAUUCUGUUCCACAUGAACUUUAAAAUGCCUUUAUCAAAGUAAAAAGAAACCAGUGGAGUUAUGGUUAGAAUUAUAUGAAAUUUAUACAUUAAUUUUUGGAGAAUUGACAUGCUUUAUACCUUUCGGUAAUAUUUUGUAAUUUUCUCCGUAUGUCUCAAACCUAUCUUGUCCAAUUUAGCCUUAAGCAGUCUGUACUUUUAUUGCACUUACAGGAAGAAUACAAUCAUACAUUGCUUACUGAUGGGGAUACGUUCCAAGAAAUGCAGCAUUAGGUGAUUUUGUCAUUGUGAAAAAUGUCAUCGUGUCCUUACAUAAACCUAGGUGAGGGAGCCCACUAACUAACACCUAGGUUGUAUGGUCUAGCCUAUUGCUCCUAGGUUACAAACCUGCAUAGCAUGUAACUGUAUGGAAUCCUGUAGGCCACUGUGAUACAGCGGUGUUUGCUUAUCUGCAUAUAUCUAAACAUGGAAAAGGAAGAGUAAAAAUAAAGUGUUGCAUUAUAAUCUAUGGGGUCAUCAUCGUAUGUGCAGUCCAUCAUUAACUGAAACGUCAUCAUGCAGCAUGUGACUGUUUUUCCAUUCUCACUCCUUUAUGGUUAUUGUUAUAAUUAUUCUUACAGAUGCAGUAAGGAUGGUAUGUAUAUCAGUCAGCUUUGUCUAAAUUACGCUGCAAUAACAAACAACCUGAAAAUCUCAGUGGCUUAUAACAACAAAAAAUGUCCUGCUCCUACCACAUGCCCCGCCCAAGCUGGCUGCAGCGCAGCUUCACAUCACCCUCACUGGGGCCCAGGCUAAUGAAGCCAUUGCUAUCAGGCACAUUCCAGUCUUGUAGUAGAGAGAAAAGGAGUCAAAGUAUAGCAUCUACUGGUUCUUAAAGCUCCUGUGAGGAAAUGUCACACAUCACUUCCCCUCAGGCUUUAUAAACCAAAGCAAGAAGUGCCCAUAUCUGACACGGAAGCAUCCGGGAUGCACAUAUUCCCCACAAGGAGGGGCCCUUCUAAUGCCCAGGCUGACACCUGAUCCUACCAGUGAGAUAGGAUCAGUACUCUUUCAACUUGAAGGGCAGCAAAUAUCUUGAUCAUUAAUACAAUGUAUCACAAUAUUUUGUUGUUAAGUUUGCAAGAUUGAGAAAUCCUAGAAAAUGAUACCUAUGCAAUAGACAUUUAUCUCCAUUAGACAAUAUGUGGUUCCUUUCUACUUUUAAGUAUGCAAGAAGAUAAUGCUUUUUCUUGUCUCUUAAAAUUAGAUACAGCCAGCCUGGUGUGAUGGCUCACACUUGUAAUCCCAGCACUUUGGGAGGCUGAGGCAGGUGUAUCACCUGAGGUUAGGAGUUCGAGACCAGACUGGCCAACAUGACAAAAUCUUGUCUCUACUAAAAUAUUAAAAAAAAAAAAAUAGCUGGGCAUGGUAGCAGGUGCCUGUAAUCCCAGCUACUAGGGAGGCUGAAGCAUUAGAAUCGCUUAAACCCUGGAGGCGUAGGUUGCAGUGAGCCAAUAUCGCACCACUGCACUCCAGCCUAGGGGAUAGAGCAAGACUGUCUCAAAAAAAAAAUUAGAUAUAGCCAUGUGACUAAUCCUGGCCAAUGAAAAUGUGAUUAGAAGUGAUGUGUGUUUCAUUCCUGCACAGAAGCAUUGAGGAGUUGGAGCAUGAUUCUCCAUAUCUUCCCUGGCAUAGUGAUAAUAGACAUAUAUGCUGAUGUAGAAGUACCAAGAGGGUAAAGUAGCUGGAAUGUCAUCAUAUAGAAGACAGUGGCUCUGAAUGUCAUCCAGAUAGAGUCUGUGGUUUUAAGUCACUGAGACUUAAGGGUUUUUUUGGGUUUUACUUUUUUAUUACUGUAACAUAGCCUUGCUUUAAUCAGGAUAGGCUAGGUUAUACUACAGUAAUAUGACAUUUAAAAUAUUUUAACAUAGGCUGGGUGCGGGGCUCACGCCUGUAAUCCCAGCACUUUGGGAGGCUGAGGCGGGUGGAUCACGAGAUCAAGAGAUCGAGACCAUUCUGGUCAACAUGGUGAAACCCUGUCUCUACCAAAAAUACUAUAAAUUAGCUGGGCAUGGUGGCGCAUGCCUGUAGUCCCAGCUACUCAGGAGGCUGAGGCAGGAGAAUUGCCUGAACCCAGGAGGCGGAGGUUGCGGUGAGCCGAGAUCGCGCCAUUGCACUCCAGCCUGGGUAACAAGAGUGAAACUCUGUCUCAAAAAAAAAAUAUAUUUUAACAUGAAACAUGUAUGUGUGUGUGUGUGUAUAUAUAUAUAUUCAUUUAUCCAUAAUGCUCUGUAGGACGAGGUCCUUCACUUAAGUAUGGGUCUUGAUAUUUUUCUUGCACAACUACAUCAAUAAUGCUUCAUAUGCAGUUUUCAGUUCAGAUUUCUCUAAUAUGGUUCAAGAACUUAAGACUUGUAGAAAAGUGCAAAUAAAAAAUCUUAUAAUUUUCUCCUCAUGCUUUAUAAUUGUUAUACCCAAACCAACAGCUUUUUUUGUAAACUGUCUAUCGAAUCUUUCUAAAGCAGACAACUUAGCUUCCAUGGAAACAAAGAUUCAUUCCUAUCACAUUAUUAUUUAUUGGCUUCAGUAAUAUUUGUUCAAGUUGCUUAGUUAUAAUAACAGUACAACUGUCAUAAAAAUGUUUAGGAGCAAGCACAACUAGAAAUUGGUAAGCAAACAACUCAUCUGGUAAAAGUGGAGUACAUGGUUAUGUAAGAGAGUAGCUCACAAGGUGAGUGCAUUUUUUUCUGCCGUAAGCAAUAGUCUGUAGGUUUCACAGAUGACAUGAGAGUUUGUAUAAACCCGGAGCGUUAUUUUAGAAGCAAAUGAAGAGAACUUCUACCAUAUGGAAACAAUGUGCACACAUGUAUGUAAAUUCACAUAUUUAUGUGUCUUUGUGUAUUGUAUUUAUCUUGUGUCUAGCCAUGUUACUCAAUUAAACAGAUGUUCUUUUUAAAAGCAUAUCUUAGAGCUUCUAAGUAUGUCAGCAUAUUAUCAGCAAAAAGAUAAUUUAAUCUCUUCUUUCCUAAAUUUAUAUUAUUUUCUUUCCUUAUCUUACUGUACCUGCUACAACCUCCAAAAUAAUAUUGAGUAAAUAAUGCUGAUGGUGAAUAUCCCAGUCUUUUUCCUGAUUUCAGUGGAAGUAUAUUUAGUGUUUGACUCUUUGGGAUAACAUCUGUUACUAGUUUUUUGGUAAGGUCUUAAUAUUUUAGGUGGUAAUUUUCUGUGGCAGAGACUGGCUAGAUGCUCACCCAUACAUUUUCCUUUCCUCCUCAGAACACAGAUCAACUACUUUUUCCAUUGCAGCUUAUGGUUGUGUAGACCCAACCUAACUGAAUGUUGAUCAGAAAAAUGUAGGUGGAAAAGAGAGAUCCCACUUCCAGUCCUAACCCUGGGCCUCCCACAUUAUUCUCCACCCUUCCUUCCUUUCUCUAUCAGUCCUAUGCAGUGGACCUGGGGCAUCUUCUAGGAUAUCUUUCUAGAAGAUGGAAAAGCUACUGACGGAAAGAGCCAUUACAAAAAGAGCCAUUUUUUACUGUGGAGCAUUACAUUUGCCAGAGAUUUUUUUGCAGAUACCCUUUAUUAGGUAGGCUAAGGAUGUUCUUUUCUAACCUUUUUGGAUAAGAGUAGUUUUUUUUUUUUUUAAUUAUGAGUAUUUGAAUGUCUGUGGGUAGGAAAGUUCCAUUGUUGUCCCAAACUGGAUUAUGACAUGAGGAAAAAUAACUUACUGUGUCAAGCCAAUGAGUUUUGGGGCUCUAUUUAAGACGAGUUAGCUUCUGCUGACUAAAACAUCUUCUAGUCAGAUAUUAUAGAGAGUUUUAAAUUGGGAUGACUGCUCAAUUUUUUCAAAUACCUUUUAAUCAUCUAUUUAUAUAAUCACUUUUUCCCCCACCAAUUUGCUGGCAUGAUGAAUUAUGUUGACAGGUUUCUUAAUAUUGAAACCAUCCCUGUAUUCUCCCAGAAUAAUCCUACUUGGUUAUAAUGUAAUUUUUUUAUUCUGAAAUAUUGUUUCUUAAAAUUGUAUCCAGAAUUUUUGCAGUUAUAGUCUUGUGAAGUCAUUCUAUAUUUUCCUUUGUUGUACUAUUUUUUUUAAAUCAGAUAUUCAGAUUAAUAUUUUCCUGGCUUUCUACAAUUAAAUGUGGAGCUUCCUGUGUUUUUCUAUUGUCUGGAAUGAUUUGAUUUUAAAAACAUUGAGCCAGGUGCAGUGGCUUGGUCUGUAAUCCCGGCUAUUUGGGAACCUGUGGCAGAAGGACAGCUUGAGUCCAAAAGUUCAAGACCAGACUCGGCAACAUAGCAGGACCCUAUCUCUAAAAAAUAAUAUUUAAAAAAUAAAUAAAUGAAAUAGCAUUGAAACAUCUGGCCCUGAUAUAUGAAAAGAGAUUAGUAUGUAUUUACUGUUUAUAAUUCUCAAUUUCUUUGUAACAAUGUAUCUCAUUUAGUUCUGCCUGUCUUUAAGCUUUAUAAAAACAAAAAGGUAUAUUUGUCUGUGACUUAUUUUACUCAAAAUGUUUUUCAGUUCAUUUAUUUUUCCUGUUGUGUAAUAUUCCCUUGUAUAAAUACACCAUCUUUUUAAAAAUCCAUUCCACUGAUUGCUUGGAUCGUUUCCAGGGUUUGCUAAUAUAAACAGUGAUAAUAGAAAUAUUUUUGUACAUAUCUUGUAGUGCAAGUUUCUCUAGUAGAAAUGGAAUGCUUCAUUGUAGAAUAUAUACGCAGUUGAUAGAUAAAAUGAAAAUGUUAGCCAACCUGAUUGAAGCAAUUUACACUUCAACUAACAGUUUCCAUUACUCCACAUCCUCCUUGCCAAUACAUGAUCUUAUUUAACUUUUACAUUUUUAUCAAUCUGUCAGGUAUAAAAUUGCAUCUCAUUGGAGUUUUUCAUAAUUACCAUUAAAAUUUAGUAUAUUUUCAUAUUCUUGGCCAUUAUAUAUUCUCCUGUGAAAUCAUAUCUUCUGCUCAUUUGUCUAUUAAUGUAUCCAUUUUGUUUAUGUAGGUCAGUGGUAGGUUUUUGAUAAAUAUUUUAAAGUUAAAUAUAAUCAAAUUUAUCAGGAUUUUUCUUCAGCAACUUUCAGAGGUUUACCUUUCACAUUUAUGUCUGUAAUAGAACUAAUUGUGUGCACACACCCGUGUAAAUGUACGCACAUAUUGGGGAGGGAAGGGAUCCAGUUCUUUUUCAUUUUUCUCUAUAUGGAUUAUUCAAGCUCUGUUUAUAUCGGGAACUCUCAUUUUCUCCACUCGUCUGCAAUGCCAGCUUUGCCAAAUAUCUCUUUGGGGCUCUCUUUUGUGUUCCAUUGGUUGAUUUGUCUAUCUCUCUGCACAUUGUGUAUUGUUUUAAUUCUUAUAGCUUAUGAUACCUAUUGAUAUCUGGGAUAAGACAGAUCUCAUUUGGGACAAGACUCUACAUUGUUCUUUAGAAGUAUCUUGGCUUAUGUAGAAAUAGGUCAAAGGGAAUAAAAAAGUAUUUUAUCGUAAAAAUUAGUUUAAAAGGUUGUUUGAAUUUUUCUUGAAUUUAUUGAGUUUGGGGAAAACUGACAU